AUUUCCAAGGGCAAGGAUUUUUGUCUGUUUUAUUCCUUGCCAGCUCUCCAAUAUGCACAAGAAUGCCUGACUCAAGACAGAAUCCUAUAAAUAUUUGUUCAAUGGGUAGAGAAAUGAUCAAUGGAGCUCACCGAACAUAUAAAAAGAUGGUCAGGGAGACAAAAUUACACUCCCAAGAGUUACACAGCCGGCAAGGGGUGAGUCGGGAUUUGAGUUUGGGUCUGUCCCUUUCCUUGGGACUUUUCCUUCUCCGUAGCACUUAUCACCACUUAUGUACUAUUUCUGGGCCUGUGUUUGGCAUCUCUCUCCUCUCCCACCGGAAGGGGGGCUCCAGUGAGAACAGAGUUCAUGCGUUUUGCUCAUAGUUGUCUCCCCAGCACCCAGACAGCGCUCCCCAGCACCCAGGAAGCAGCUCAUAAAUAUACACUGAGCAACACUUCGUUCUCGCAAGCAAUCCUGCAAAGUACGUUUCCUCUGUGCUGUUUUACACGUGGGGACAUUGAGGCUCAACCAGAGAAGUGAUUUGCCUUGCUUAAGGUCAUCUGGCUAAUGAAUAGAAAGAUGGGAUUUGAACCCAGGCCUCCUGGGCUCAUUGGUCAUGGAGAAGGGGACCCGCAUUUAACGCUUGCUGGUUCGACCCACCCAAAGGCAACAGCUGCUUGGCCGAAAGCUCCACUCACACCCUACCAGGGAAGGCAUUUCCCCCUCAAGGUCAGCAGUGUCAGGGCCGAUGUGAAACUCACCCUUAAUGCACAACUCCCCAGUUUCGUCCAUUUGAGUGAAAACUUUGAUGUUAUUUUAACCCAAAUCCCCCGUUGACUUCAAUGGAAGCUUUGAAUCCACGAGGAAGGUCAGACAGUGUUUUUGGAGGUAACAUGGGCACCCAAUGGAAAUCAUAUUAGCAUACUCAUUAUCAUCAGGGCCCUUUGAAUGUGUUUUUUAGCUGCUCCCUUAAAGUUGACUUGGUGACAAUGGAUCCUUUCUGUUCAGGAAUCACUGGGCCAGAGUGAAGCUGCAGUCGGCUCCUGUGUGCUUUUCUGUGCUUUUCAAAUGAUGACAGUGAACCCAUGUUGCAUAAGGGAAAUGUUCAAACUACGGAAAAGUGCAGAGAAUCGUACGACGACCCCACUACCUGCUACCAGCCUCAUCAAUCAGCAACACGGAGUCCCUUCGGUGUGAGGGGGUUUAAGAAUCCCUAAUUUCAGCAGGACAUGUGGCAGCCCAGAAUGAAGAUUACACUUCCCUGCUUUCUUCCCGAAUCCUAGGUAUGUCCAUGUGAGUUCUUACCAGUGAGAAAUGUUUUGUGUGGCUUCUAGAAAACGUCUUAAACAGGAGAAUAGAUAUCCCACUCGUCUCUUUCUCUUUGCUGGCUGGAAUCUGGAAUGUGACGACUGGCUCUCAAACAGUCAUGCUGGACCAUGUGAUGAAUUAAAGAUGGCUACUGAUUCUUUGGUCCUUCUUCCUUCAAGAGGAAGAGUUUGUUUGGACUUCCCCUCCUCUUAAAUCUGCGCUGGCCUGUGACUUAUUGGACCAACAGAAUACAGUGGAAAUGAUGCUCUGCCAAUUCCGGACUUUGCCCUUAGGGAAACUGGCAGAUUCUGCCAUGGUCUCUUGGAUCCCUGGCUGCCAAGGAAAAGGUCAAACCACUCUCUCUGCUGGAGAGACCCCCCUGGAGAAGCCCUAAGACCUCACGGAAAGGAAUUAGGGACCCGGCUGAGCUCAGCACUGCGGUCUUCCCAAACCAUCUUGGUCCUCCAGAUGAAACCAAUCAUCAGCUGAACGCGGCCAAGUGACUAGUCAACGCCCAUGGAUCAGAAGGACCGCCCAGCUGAGCCCUGGCCGAAUUUCAGACCCGCAAAACUGUAGAAAAUAAUAAACAUGAUUAUUGUUUGGGGAGUGUCUGUUGGGUACCAAUACAUAACCAGAACAGACCAUGAGAUAGAAGGUAUUUGUUGAGGAUGCCGUAACAAUUACACCAUCUGGAGGUCUGGCCGCCUCCAGAUAUUUUGUCCUACACGAAAAGUAGACUCUGUUUGUUUAAGCUUUGAUGAUACCUUGGGUCGUGGCUCAUGGCCUCAGUUUCCCCACAAUUAUUCAUUGGAGCAUUAACGCCUGCCCUGUUACCUCCUUUUGCAUGUAAUACAAACAGUGCGUAUCCAAAAAGACCAUGGGGCGUGCCCAAGUCGUUAUGAUACAUUUCAUGUGUCCGUAAUCGGAUACGAACUUGUCAGGGGGCCAACUGCGAUGGGUUUUGGAAUCAGAUAUGUUGGGACUGGAGGCUCAACUCUGCUACUUUCUAAUGUGAAAAAUCGGACCAGCCACUGAAUCUCUCUGAGCUUUGUUUCCUCAUCAAUAAAAAACAGACGAUGCCUA